rnacentral:rRNA from 1 species
UACGGGGGGGCAAGCGUUUGUUCGGAAUUACUGGGCGUAAAGGGCUCGUAGGUGGCCAACUAAGUCAGACGUGAAAUCCCUCGGCUUAACCGGGGAACUGCGUCUGAUACUGGAUGGCUUGAGGUUGGGAGAGGGAUGCGGAAUUCCAGGUGUAGCGGUGAAAUGCGUAGAUAUCUGGAGGAACACCGGUGGCGAAGGCGGCAUCCUGGACCAAUUCUGACACUGAGGAGCGAAAGCCAGGGGAGCAAACGGG